rnacentral:rRNA from 1 species
GAUGAACGCUGGCUACAGGCUUAACACAUGCAAGUCGAGGGGAAACGACGGGGAAGCUUGCUUCCCCGGGCGUCGACCGGCGCACGGGUGAGUAACGCGUAUCCAACCUGCCUCUGACUGAGGGAUAACCCGUCGAAAGUCGGCCUAAUACCUCAUGGUAUCGUCUGCGGGCAUCCAACGACGAUUAAAGAUUUCAUCGGUCAGGGAUGGGGAUGCGUCUGAUUAGCUUGUUGGCGGGGUAACGGCCCACCAAGGCUACGAUCAGUAGGGGUUCGGAGAGGAAGGUCCCCCACAUUGGAACUGAGACACGGUCCAAACUCCUACGGGAGGCAGCAGUGAGGAAUAUUGGGCAAUGGGCGAGAGCCUGAACCAGCCAAGUAGCGUGCAGGAAGACGGCCCUAUGGGUUGUAAACUGCUUUUAUGCGGGGAUAAAGUGAGGGACGUGUCCCUCAUUGCAGGUACCGCAUGAAUAAGGACCGGCUAAUUCCGUG